AUUGAACGCUGGCGGCAGGCCUAACACAUGCAAGUCGAACGGUAGCACAGAGAGCUUGCUCUCGGGUGACGAGUGGCGGACGGGUGAGUAAUGUCUGGGAAACUGCCCGAUGGAGGGGGAUAACUACUGGAAACGGUAGCUAAUACCGCAUAAUGUCGCAAGACCAAAGAGGGGGACCUUCGGGCCUCUUGCCAUCGGAUGUGCCCAGAUGGGAUUAGCUUGUAGGUGAGGUAACGGCUCACCUAGGCGACGAUCCCUAGCUGGUCUGAGAGGAUGACCAGCCACACUGGAACUGAGACACGGUCCAGACCCCUACGGGAGGCAGCAGUGGGGAAUAUUGCACAAUGGGCGCAAGCCUGAUGCAGCCAUGCCGCGUGUAUGAAGAAGGCCUUCGGGUUGUAAAGUACUUUCAGCGGGGAGGAAGGGAGUGAGGUUAAUAACCUUAUUCAUUGACGUUACCCGCAGAAGAAGCACCGGCUAACUCCGUGCCAGCAGCCGCGGUAAUACGGAGGGUGCAAGCGUUAAUCGGAAUUACUGGGCGUAAAGCGCACGCAGGCGGUCUGUCAAGUCGGAUGUGAAAUCCCCGGGCUCAACCCGGGAACUGCAUUCGAAACUGGCAGGCUGGAGUCUUGUAGAGGGGGGUAGAAUUCCAGGUGUAGCGGUGAAAUGCGUAGAGAUCUGGAGGAAUACCGGUGGCGAAGGCGGCCCCCUGGACAAAGACUGACGCUCAGGUGCGAAAGCGUGGGGAGCAAACAGGAUUAGAUACCCUGGUAGUCCACGCUGUAAACGAUGUCGACUUGGAGGUUGUUCCCUUGAGGAGUGGCUUCCGGAGCUAACGCGUUAAGUCGACCGCCUGGGGAGUACGGCCGCAAGGUUAAAACUCAAAUGAAUUGACGGGGGCCCGCACAAGCGGUGGAGCAUGUGGUUUAAUUCGAUGCAACGCGAAGAACCUUACCUACUCUUGACAUCCAGAGAACUUAGCAGAGAUGCUUUGGUGCCUUCGGGAACUCUGAGACAGGUGCUGCAUGGCUGUCGUCAGCUCGUGUUGUGAAAUGUUGGGUUAAGUCCCGCAACGAGCGCAACCCUUAUCCUUUGUUGCCAGCGGUCCGGCCGGGAACUCAAAGGAGACUGCCAGUGAUAAACUGGAGGAAGGUGGGGAUGACGUCAAGUCGUCAUGGCCCUUACGAGUAGGGCUACACACGUGCUACAAUGGCAUAUACAAAGAGAAGCGACCUCGCGAGAGCAAGCGGACCUCAUAAAGUAUGUCGUAGUCCGGAUUGGAGUCUGCAACUCGACUCCAUGAAGUCGGAAUCGCUAGUAAUCGUGGAUCAGAAUGCCACGGUGAAUACGUUCCCGGGCCU
rnacentral:rRNA from 1 species